rnacentral:rRNA from 1 species
GUGAACGCUGGCGGUAGGCCUAACCCAUGCAAGUCGCACGGCAGCACAGUAAGCGCUUGCUCUUACGGGUGGCGAGUGGCGGACGGGUGAGGAAUACAUCGGAAUCUACUUUUUCGUGGGGGAUAACGUAGGGAAACUUACGCUAAUACCGCAUACGACCUACGGGUGAAAGCAGGGGAUCUUCGGACCUUGCGCGAUUGAAUGAGCCGAUGUCGGAUUAGCUAGUUGGCGGGGUAAAGGCCCACCAAGGCGACGAUCCGUAGCUGGUCUGAGAGGAUGAUCAGCCACACUGGAACUGAGACACGGUCCAGACUCCUACGGGAGGCAGCAGUGGGGAAUAUUGGACAAUGGGCGCAAGCCUGAUCCAGCCAUACCGCGUGGGUGAAGAAGGCCUUCGGGUUGUAAAGCCCUUUUGUUGGGAAAGAAAAGCAGCAGGUUAAUACCCCGCUGUUCUGACGGUACCCAAAGAAUAAGCACCGGCUAACUUCGUG